GGGGAACCACGCGUACCCAUCCCGAACACGACCGUUAAGCCC
rnacentral:rRNA from 1 species